GCCUCGGUAGUGUAAUGGAUCAAUACGGCAGACCGGAUAUCUGUAAGUGCAGGUUCGAGUCCCGCCUGAGGUU
rfam:Dictyocaulus viviparus strain HannoverDv2000 D_viviparus-1.0_Cont755.6, whole genome shotgun sequence.